rnacentral:rRNA from 1 species
UAAAACCUAUUUACAAUGGCGGCAUUUUAUCUUAUUAGAGGAACCUGUUUAAUAAUCGAUAACCCACGUUAAUUUUUACUUUUUUAAAAAACUUAUAUAUCGCCAUCUAAAGAAUUAAUUUUUAAUUUUAUUCUUUUUAAAAAAUAAAAAGUUAGGUCAAGGUGUAGUUUAUAUUAAAGAUAAAAUGAGUUACAUUAAAAAUUAUUUAAGAAUUAUAUUAUAAAAAUAAUAUAUGAAAAAGAAUUUAAAAGUAAUAUUCCAAUAAUAAUAUUUUAUG